rnacentral:rRNA from 1 species
AGUCAACUUCACGCGUUAGCUACGUCACCAAGUGGCAAUAGAAGACCCGACAACUAGUUGACAUCGUUUAGGGCGUGGACUACCAGGGUAUCUAAUCCUGUUUGCUCCCCACGCUUUCGUGCAUGAGCGUCAGUAUUGGCCCAGGGGGCUGCCUUCGCCAUCGGUAUUCCUCCACAUCUCUACGCAUUUCACUGCUACACGUGGAAUUCUACCCCCCUCUGCCAUACUCUAGCCCGCCAGUCACAAAUGCAGUUCCCAGGUUAAGCCCGGGGAUUUCACAUCUGUCUUAGCGGACCGCCUGCGCACGCUUUACGCCCAGUAAUUCCGAUUAACGCUUGCACCCUACGUAUUACCGCGGCUGCUGGCACGUAGUUAGCCGGUGCUUAUUCUUCCGGUACCGUCAUCCCCCCAGGGUAUUAGCCCACAGGAUUUCUUUCCGGACAAAAGUGCUUUACAACCCGAAGGCCUUUCUUCACACACGCGGCAUUGCUGGAUCAGGGUUGCCCCCAUUGUCCAAAAUUCCCCACUGGCCUGCCUCCCCGUAGGGAAUUCUUGGGGCCCGUGUUCUCAAGUUCCCCAAGUGGUGGGCCUGGGUCCUUUCCUCUUCCAAGAACCCAGCUUACCAAAAUUCGUUCCCCCUUUGGGGUAGGGCCCUUUUACCCCCACCCCACCUUAAGCCUAAUUCCUUGCCCAUUCCGGCCCCCCCCCUUGUUUACCCAAAAAGGGUUCUUAAAAAAUUCCCCCCCCCUUUUCCCCCCCCCAAAAAANCCUUUUUUCCCGGGAUUUUAAAUUCCGGGCUUUCCCGCCCGGGGCCUAUUUCCCCCCCC